rnacentral:rRNA from 1 species
GAUGAACGCUGGCGGCGUGCCUAAUACAUGCAAGUCGAACGGUAACAGGUCUUCGGAUGCUGACGAGUGGCGAACGGGUGAGUAAUACAUCGGAACGUGCCCGAGAGUGGGGGAUAACGAGGCGAAAGCUUUGCUAAUACCGCAUACGAUCUCAGGAUGAAAGCAGGGGACCGCAAGGCCUUGCGCUCACGGAGCGGCCGAUGGCAGAUUAGGUAGUUGGUGGGAUAAAAGCUUACCAAGCCGACGAUCUGUAGCUGGUCUGAGAGGACGACCAGCCACACUGGGACUGAGACACGGCCCAGACUCCUACGGGAGGCAGCAGUGGGGAAUUUUGGACAAUGGGCGCAAGCCUGAUCCAGCCAUGCCGCGUGCAGGAUGAAGGCCUUCGGGUUGUAAACUGCUUUUGUACGGAACGAAAAGACUCCUUCUAAUAAAGGGGGUCCAUGACGGUACCGUAAGAAUAAGCACCGGCUAACUACGUGCCAGCCGCCGCUGUAA